CAGCAGCCGCGGUAAUACAGAGGGUGCAAGCGUUAAUCGGAAUUACUGGGCGUAAAGCGCGCGUAGGUGGUUUGUUAAGUCGGAUGUGAAAUCCCUGAGCUUAACUUAGGAAUUGCAUUCGAUACUGGGAAGCUAGAGUAUGGGAGAGGAUGGUAGAAUUCCAGGUGUAGCGGUGAAAUGCGUAGAGAUCUGGAGGAAUACCGAUGGCGAAGGCAGCCAUCUGGCCUAAUACUGACGCUGAGGUACGAAAGCAUGGGGAGCAAACAGGAUUAGAGACCCGAGUAGUCCCUGUUUCUUAUAC
rnacentral:rRNA from 1 species